rnacentral:lncRNA from 1 species
GGUGGAGGCUAAUCUGGGUGCAGUUAACCCGCUCAGGAGGGGUAGCGGGCCUCACCGCGGGUGGGCCCGGGGCUAACCUGGGUGGGCCGUCGGCUAAUCCUCAGUGGACCGCCGGCUAAUCCUAGGUGGGCCGCCGGCUAAUCCGAGUGAGCCGCCCGCUAACCUUGGUGUGCCCCGAGCCCUGCCAAUUAGCCAUCACUUUGCUGUUACUUCCAUGUUUCUGGCGUUGUCUAAGUAUGGUCUUAGAUGGGGAAUGGUUGGAUGGGGCAAGAUGGGCACGCGGGGCCGCAGGGACGUGAACCACUGGUUCACCAGCCGGAAACCAGCUCUAUUUGUUGGGAUAUUUUUUGUUAAUGUUCAUACGUAUGGUGUCUAUGCAGCUGAGGAAAUAGGGACCUGUUUUUAACCUCACGUCAAAGAAAUGUUGUUUGUUGCCUCAGAUUUCAGCCCGCAUCGGUUGUAUAUUUGAAUAUGGGAGCCCUCAUGGUCACAUAAACCAAUACGAGAACCCCUGUCUUGCAUUCUUCCGAAAAUGAACCAGUGGUUCAUGCGGCUGCGUCGUUUGCGGGUUGCUGCGUUUGGAGACUUAGGAUGUGUCAGGAAGAUUAAGCAAAUAGUACAGCAUGCGUUGGGGGAUUCAGGUGUCAACAUAGCCGCGCUGGCGCGAAAAUGGGAAUCGCGUGUGGGUUUCUGAGCGUGUUACCCGCGAGCAUCACCGCUGCCCCGCGCGAAGUCCUCGCGUACAGACGCUGCGCCCCCAAAAAGGCGUUUCCCGGUCACAGAGUGGCUUUCCGCAGUCACCGGCGGCAGUUCCCGCGCUAAUCUUGAGUAGGUCCCCGGCUAAUCCUGGGUGGGUCCCCGGCUAAUCCUGGGUGGGCGGGGGGCUAAUCCAGGUUGGCCGGCGACCCAGCGGGCUUUGCCCCGAGCUCACCCAAGCUUUACAGCCGUUGCCUUAAAGUUAGCCCACGGCUAAUCCACCGGAGCUGGAUGAGAGCAGCCAAAACCGCUCGUGUCAUCCCUCCGGCAGGGCAGCACCGCCUCACCACCCCUGUGGGUCAUCCAGAUGCAGCCACUGACGUCCUUUCUGCGGCGGCAGGUGGAGCAAGGGGCACUGCGCACGCCCCUGUUACCCAGCGGCGAGCAGGCGCCACCGGCUGCCCACCACGCUGACGACACGACCCUCACGGCGCGCGACCCGGCGGUGGACGGGCCGGUCCUGAUGGCGGCAGUACAGCUGUUCUGCCGCGCGUCCAACGCCCGUGUCCAUCCGGACAAGAGCAAGGCCAUGGGCCUUGGCAGGUUUGCGCACCUGACGGGCCCUUGCCCACACACGGGGGUGCCGUUUACCACUGGCGCCGUGACGCACCUGGGUGUGCCCCUGUCGUGGGACUCGGAUGUGGCUGCAGCUGACUUGUUCACCCGGCGGGCUCGCGGCAUGGCGUUUGUGGCGCGUCUGUGGGCUGCCCUGUCUCUGACUCUUGUUGGCCGUGUGCACAUUGCGAAGCAGGUGCUGGCGGCGAAGCUGGCCUACCACUUCAGCUUCCUCAACCCGUCGCCUGCGCAGCUGAAGGAACUCACCGACCUGGUGGACCACUUUGCUGCGCGGUCCAUGCACGCUGAGGACGCCAGCCUGGUGUCGCACGGGAACCCGCUCCUGCUGCCAAAGCGGGAAACGGCCUGUCUGCCGUACAAGGAUGGGGGUGUCAACCACGUCGACCUGCCUGCGUUCCUGUCUGCCCUGCAAGCUAAGACCUUCGCCCUCCUUGCCCAGCCAGGCCGGCAACCCUGGAAGAUGCUCACCCGGGCGCUGCUUACUCAUGUGCGCCCGGACUCCGCCACCACGUGGGCGUGGGUGUACAGCGACGCGCUGGCGCCAGCGGGGCUGCCUGCCCGGCUGGCGGCCGCGGUCGGCCACAUGCAGAGCGCGGGCGUGGAACAGCAUCCACCGCAGCCAGCCACUCAGCCGCCAGCGGCGCCGCCACAGUGGCGGGUUAGCCUGGACCAGCUGUGGGUGGCUAACGCUGCGGGGGCUGUGUCCUACGUCCACUACACGGGGCGGCUCUUGGAGCCUGGGCCUGGCGUGCUGCCCCCGGCGGUGGAUGGGGCGUGGCAGCCUGCCUGUGUGCUGCAGCAUCGCAAGCCGCGGCACCUGUGGACCUUUGAAGAGCGGGCGGCGUACGAUGCAGCAUCACCAGGGGACCGGGCGGGGGCGUGGCCUCGGGCGCCGUACUUCCUGGCGCCGGAGGCUGGGGUGGUGGUGCACCCGGAGCACUGCCGGAUUGCGGGUGUCAGCUUAGCGGACUACACGGUGCGGGACGUGCGGCGGGCCAUCACCGCGGCCAACCCGGCCGCACCUCCGGCUCCGGCCCGCCCCGCAGCCAUGCCGUGCCCAGCGCCAGCACAGCAGGCGGGGGGUUCGGGGCCCCAGCCAGCGGCACAGUCGCGGCUGGCGAAGCGGGAGGCGGAGUGGCAGCGUGCAGCGGCGCAGCUGACCACCACGGCGGCGCAGCAUUUCCACAAUAACCCGGUGGCUCUGGACCCCUGGCUCCACCGCACCUCUGCGGCAGCCGGGCUGCAGAACACGCCGGCGAGAGAACUGCAGUCGUAUGCGUCCCCGUCCCAGCAGUCGGGUGAGGGGCCGCGGCGGUCCGCGCGGCUGCAGGAGCAGGCGGCGGGCGGGGCGGGACCUAGCACUGGGCCUGCCACGGCGGCGGCGGCAGCAGCGGCGGCGGUGGAGGGCGACCCUCGCAUGCCGCCCCCGGAUGCGUCCCUUCUGCGGGGUACGUGGCGGAGGCUGUGGGACAGCCACGCCAGUCGGGGGGCAAAGGUGCUGGUGUACCGGCUGCAACAUGCUUACCUGCCUUGCGGGCUGUACAGGGCGGGCAAGGGCAUUCGGCCACGGGUGACCACGGGGUGCGGGGGGUUGGGGGCGCACUGUCCUCACCCCGCCUGCGGGCCACCUGGCCCGCGGGCGUGGGCCAGCCUGACGCACAUCUUCCUGGAGUGUCCGGCUUAUGCGCAGGCGAGGACGUGGCUGCAGCAGCUGUGGGCCUGCGUUGCGCCCCAGGCAGCGGCGCCGCCAGUGACGGACGCGGGCUUCAUGCUGGGGGACCGCAUGGGUAUGUGGGCCUCAGGCCCGCGGGGGGCGGGCGCGCUGCUGUGGAGCACUUUGCCAGCCACCUUCUUUUUUUUUUUUGAGGAAUCAUCCUUACAAGGUUGAACAGGGGCAGACGCGCUGCCCCCCUGCUGCCUGAAAGCAGCCUGGUCCCCGGGACCAGAACCCUGACAGGGCAAGAAGAGGAGAGAAGAGAAGAAAAACAGAAAACAAACACCUCGAAAACCGCCACCAACCACCCCCAUCCAUCCCACCCCACCCCACCCCGACCCGGCAGACAGAGCAGGAGGCUGGCCCCCCCGCCCCCCGGGAGGGGUUGCACAAAAACACCGCCAGACCUAACCCAAGCACCAACCUACACCACAGCCUAACCGCAAGAACCACCACCACCGCGCGCCAGAAAAAGAAACACCAGCGCUACGCACUCGCCCCGCCCAAACCCACCCCACCCCCACAAGUCGGUUGCUUAAGCAACACCCCAGGAGAACCGGCAGAGGAGACACAAGCAGAAAACUAAACGGGCCAGAUGUGGCGCUGACUAAGCGGGCUCCAGUCCGCUGCAAGACGCGCUGUGCAGGAAGUCCCACAGCCGCCCAGGUGCUGCGACGCCAGCCAGAGCUAAAAAACAUGGGCGCCAGAUAAGCUGAUGACGAUAAUACGCCACGCCAGCGCCUGGAAAGAACCGCCGCCUAGGGGGCCUGCACAGGUGAUGCAAGUGUCAGCCGCAAGUUCAACUUCGGUGACCCACCCUGAACCUCCUCCACUUCACAAAGCGCGCCACCCGCCGUCCAGAUGGCAACAAAAUGCUCCAGCUUAGCCGCCUUGAGCUGUGCGGUGAGCAGCUGAGUGGGCAGAGCCGACAGGGUUUCAGGGGUUAGCGUGGCGGCAGUGAAACGCAGCCGCAUCACCCUGCGCAGCUCGCUGACCACCUCCCGAACCACAUGCUCCGACGUCUGCUUAGCAGGCUCGCGGGACCAGUACGCACACCAGACGGCGUACAAAAAGGCGUAUGACCGGGUGCACCGGCAGUGGCUGUAUGCGUCCGCGGAGGGACUUGGGUUUGGGCCGCGCAUGCUGCGCUGGAUCCGCCUGCUCACUGCCAACGGCUCUGCCCGCGUGUGUGUGAACGGGAUGCUCUCUGACGCCUUCCCAGUGCUGAACGGCUUGCCGCAGGGCAGCACCGCCUCACCACCCCUGUGGGUCAUCCAGAUGCAGCCACUGACGUCCUUUCUGCGGCGGCAGGUGGAGCAAGGGGCCCUGCGCACGCCCCUGUUAC